AUUACAAGAGACGGUCUGCCUGUGUUGAGGAAGCUGAGAAGAAACCCUCCCUGCGGAUUUCUCACUUUCAGGGAAAAUGAAACAUCCGUGAGACAACUUGGCUCCCCAGUCUCUCAGGAGCCUCACUGGGCAGGUGUUGGGGGACACUGCUCAAGAAUGGAUAGCUUGACACGGUAAAAUGAUGAAACUGUGCUCUGUGGACAGAAGAACAUCCCUGAACAGUCUGGGACUUGGGCAUGUCUGUUAAUCACCAGGCUCUGUUGGCGAGCAUCCCAUCAGGAGAAUGGAAAGAGUUUCCAGAAUUCAGAAGUCUUUCCAAGUUCUUGGUCCUAACCUCGAACUUCCCUUGUGACUUGGGGCCUUUGGUUCUAGGGGUUCAAGUUUUCCCUCUGGGAAAUGCCCAAACAAUCCAGUUCCCCAGGGAGUGAGCAUGGAGUAUGUCAAAGGAAGACAGAACAACCGAUAUAAUAAACCACCCCUGAAGUAGCUGCCUAAACAGAGCCAGCCAGAGCCCGAACAGCUCCCCUUCCCUGCCUCCCACAUGCACCCUGACAGAGCCCCACAGGCCUCCUGCCUCCCUGUGAGGCCUCAGGCGACUUCACAGCCCAUGAAUUUCCUUUGGCACUUUGAGACUUCCCCCACCCCCCACCCCA